UACUCUACUCUCUAUUUACGCCUAUGCAUUGCAAAAUUUUGAUACUUUACUUUCUCUUCUCUUGUAAAUUUGGGAAGGUCGAAAACCCUAAUCAUUGAAGGUGGUGGUGGUGGUGGUGGUGGUGGUGGGUGGGGGGCUAUUUUUUCUUCUACUCACGAAGGAAUGUCGAAGAAAGAGGUCACAAGGAGAGAGCUGUUGAACCGCUGGAGGGGCAUCGAAGAAGAAGACGAGGACGACGACAUUGCAUCUGGAGACCUUCUCAAGCGACAUCGUUUCCGGCAGCUCAAAGAAGAAUGGUUUUCAGAUGCAUUCAACUACUUGAUUUUUAUGCCCGAAGAAAAUCAUAUUUGGUGUGGUUCCUGGGAACUGAUGGGACCUCUUCUGGAGACUUUCUAUAAUUAUUUUAAGGAUGAUCGCCGUGAUUCUCCUCUAAAGCUCCUACUGGACAGAACAUCUAGGGAAAUGCGCCAGUGCACUCAAUGUAUAUGUCAAUACCAUCAAGCCCAAGAGCUUUACAGUACAGAAUAUGACCCAAGUUCCAUUGGUCCACUUCUUGAAGUCUUGCGCACUCUUGAUGAAGAAAGAAUCAGUGAACAUCUUAAAGAGAUUAAUAACAGAAUAAGUUGUGGAGAGUACGACAUAGUUCAUGGCAGUGGAGAAAUAGUUGGCGUCAUGUUUGAGGUUUUAAUGUUCCCAAUUUUGUUAGAUGAUUCUUAUUUGGCAAGUGAAUUUGAAACAUUCAUUGACGCAAUCGAUAAAACUCAUGAACUGACCUUGGGUGGACACCAACAGUAUCCGGGAGUUUAUGCAUUACUUUUCCAUAAAGGUCGAAGAGCUCGUUCGAUCGGUUUGCGACUGGCUGGACGUAUGAGUAAAUUGAGGCAAUCAGCAGAUUUGGAUGCUUUGCAGCCUUUGCUGAAGAAGUACAUUUCUUAUUUGGCAGCAGAUGUUUUGCCAUUGUCUACACCGAAUCUAAGGCCUAGGGUUGAGUUGGAUCGAGCAACUGUAUGGCUUGGGAUCAAAGCAUUGCUUGGAUUCUUGGAGCCUCCAGCUUUUGAAGAAGGCAUUUUAGAUCGCUAUCCCAUUUUUCUGAGUGUUGUUCUCAACCAUAUCAGUGAUGAUUCAGCAGAGUUUUCUUAUGCUGUUAAUUGUCUGAGAUUAUUGUUUGAGAUGCUUGGAUAUAAGCUUUGGUUGAAGACUUCAUUAUCUCCAAGUGUGAUGCGCAAUACACUAUUGGGUCAGUGUUUCCACACUCGAAAUGAGAAAAGCCAUAAGGAAAUCUUUGAUCUUUUCCAGCCUUUUCUACAGUCUCUUGAAGAUUUACAAGAUGGAGAACAUGAAAAACAACGGAGGAAUCUUCUUUUUUUUCUCCUGCAUCAAGUUACUGUGAGUAGUAACUUCAGCUUGCUCAUGAGAAAAAAGGCUUGCCAGAUAGCUCUUCUCAUAGUUCACCGAGGUUAUACUAUGAACCCACCUUCUCCGCCAUAUGAAUGUGCACAUAUGUGGGGACCUACUCUUGUGUCCUCUUUGAAGGAUUCAUCACUUCACAGUUCUCUCCGUCAACCUGCAUUUGAUGUUAUUCAAACUAUUAUAGUUUCUGAUGCUUCCGCUCUGGCAUCAUCAAUUCUGAAGUAUCAACUUGCUACGAGUGGUGAAAGAUGCUCGCCGUUACAGCUUGAUGAAGAAGAGGACCAAGGAAAUUUGGUUGGUUGUGAUUUUGAAGAAAGUGAUGUCAGUUGUUGGAGUGAAUUUAGUUCUCAAGCUGAUAUAACAUCAGAUUUAUGUGGGGAUUGGAUGUGCAUCCCAAUGUUGUGGUUUGAGGUUUUAGUUGAAAUUGAUCCCUUGAUUCUUCCAGUAUCAUUUGCUAAGUCUGUUUUCUGGGCUCUGUCACGUCUUUCUUUACUUGAAUCUGAUAAUGACUCUGGAAUGACACCUUCAGUCGGUCACUGGUUGAGAACCUGUGGUUCAGAUAUCUCUCAUGUUUUCAAUUGGAAGGUUCCAUCUGGUUCAAAUGAUGGUGGUGAGGGAGUGGAAUCUAAAAACUCCAUUAGGGUCUCAACAAAGUGUAUACCUCUAAUUAGGCUUUUCAAGAGGUCGACUGCUUAUUUCAUCAUCAGAAUGGAGCAAGGGGAGCUAAGGAAGCAGUGGACAUGGGAGCCUAUGAUGAGUGACAGUUUGAUUCUUCUGCUCGUGGAUCCCAACGAUAAUGUGAGACAUGUUGGUCGGUGCAUUCUUGAACAAGUUUCAAAUACACGAGGCCUAACAAGUGGACUGCAGUUUCUUUGCUCUAGCCCAUCUUCACUCUCAGCUACCACUACAGGGUUAAGACAUGCUCUAAAGCUGGUUCAGUUGGACUGCGUUCUAUCAGAAUUUCAGACUUUGCAUCAUUUCUUUUUUGUUUUGUGCAAACUACUAAAAGAAGGGAAUUCAUGUAGCCAACCUCUAGUCAGAAAAUCCUCUGAGGACUCUAGUAUCUCAAAAUUUUCUUCUCAAGGGGGAUUCUUAAAGCAGCCAGCGCUUCAAGCUCAAACUGAGCACAUGGACGCACAUAAAUCAGUUGUCAGUUCCAUUUUAUGGGAGAAAUUUUGUUGCUUACUCUCAGAAAUGGCUUGGAUUUCUGUUCAGAAGUGCUUGGCAGCUGGGAAGGUUUUUAUAGGUCAAAAACCAUCUCAGAUGACCUGCAUCAGAUUAUUAGAGACCCUUCCUGUUGUUUUCGGAAGGCUUUGCCAAGAUCCGACUACCGUGCUUAACAGUGCAGUGACACAAUGUCUCCGUGAUCUGAUAGAUUGGGGGCAUUCACCACUUGCAGUAGUGGUCAGAUAUUGGAAAGAUGCUUUAAUUUCAUUGCUGAUUCUGAUUAAAGCAUCAUGCAGUGGUGUCCCUGCCUCAUUAGCCGCAGAUAUUGAGAAACUUAUUUCAUGUGAUAAUAUUCCAAUGAAUGAGUUGACCAAGCAAGUUGCUCGGCUUUCUGUUUCACUUGUGGAUGGGAGUUACACUGACUUGAAAAAAACUAGCUUUGAUUCCAAAUGUUUGCCUGGUGAAGAAUUUGUUCGUGCCGACAACUCUUUUAGUAGAGUGGGUAAAAGAAUGCAUAUUUCAGACUUGAAAACAGUUGUUGAUGAGGAAAGAAGUAAUUUGAUAGCUCAUUCAGGUGAUGAAAGAGAAACAGAUACUUCUGCUGGUGCAGAUAUCAAUUCUUGUGUCAGCUUUGAUCCUGAACUUGUUGGCCGUAUUGCCGGGAGAGUUGUGUAUUCUGAUCCUGUGAAAAAAUUUGACUCCAGGAAAAUUUCUCAGCCAGUUGAUCUUUGUUUGGAUCUGGAUAUCCCAAGACUUGAAUUAAAUGCACUACAUGCCAGAAAAGAUUCACCUCUUGUCAAAUCAAAAGCUAUAGAGCCUAAGAACAAGGAAACUGAUAUCAAGUGCCAUUUAAAUUAUACAAAUCUGAAAUCCAAAGAAAAUAGUUAUGUCACCUCUGAGCUUCAUUCUGCUGUAGGGAGCUCAUCUUAUGGAGGUGUGAGUAUGAAAGAGAAUGACGGGGAAGCUGAUGAGCGGGCGAUAAAACCUAAUGAUACAGUCUUGAAAGAGCUUGUAAAUGAAACCAGAAGUGAUCGGGAGUUAGCUUUUCUCACUUCAGCUAGACGUCAACAAUCAUUCUCCAUAAAAACAAGUUUCUCUGGUCCGAAAAGGAAAGUCAUUCAGCUUGGCUUACCAGUUGAAAAUAGGUCUAACGCUUUGAGAUUGGAUGAUGGAGUAAAAAGAUUUAAAGCUGUGAGGCUUGAUGAUUGGUAUAGACCUAUUCUAGAGUGCAAUUACUUCUUAACAGUUGGAUUGACAACUGCAGGUGAAGGAAAUAAUGAUAGUUUGAGUAAAUUAAAGGAGGUUCCUGCUUGUUUCCAAUCUGUUGAUGAAUAUGUUGAAAUUUUUCGCCCACUAAUAUUGGAAGAAUUCAAAGCCCAACUGCAGAGUUCCUUUCAGGAGAUAACUUCUCUAGAAGAGAUCUCUUGCGGCAGUCUUUCUGUAAUGUCAGUUGAAAGAAUUGAUGAUUUUCACUUCAUUCGCUGUGUUCACGAAGAUGUUGAUUCAUCUGGUUCUAAAAGCUGCUCAGACAAUGAUCUUAUUUUGCUUACUAGACAACCUCUGAGGAAUUCUUGUCCUGAUAUUCACAUGGUUGGAAAGGUGGAAAAGCGUGAAAAAGAUUGUAAGAAGAGAUCAAGCAUCCUAUUCAUCAGGUUGUACUUGCAAAAUAGACCUCAUCUGAUGCGAGCUCGAAAGUUUCUUGUUGCGCGAAGCAAAUGGUGCAUUAAUCGUCUAAUGACCAUGACUUCUCAACUCAGAGAAUUUCAAGCAUUGUCGGCUAUUAGGGGAAUCCCUUUGCUUCCUGUUAUCUUGAAUCCCACCAGUUACGAUCACUGUAAACAUUAUGGUGAGAGUUUCAAGAAACUAUCUAGACCUUUACAGCAAGUCCUCAAAUCGGCAUAUAAUGACAGUCAACUGCAAGCUAUCAGUGCUGCUAUUGGACCUUUUGAUCCUAAAAAGGAUUUUCAAUUGUCCCUAAUACAGGGUCCUCCAGGUACAGGGAAGACCCGAGUGAUUGUGGCCAUUGUCAGUUCGUUGCUUUCUUUCUCCCAAGUGGACACCAAGAGAUCAUCAAAUGGAGGUCUAAAGUCUACUGGAAUGUUUUGUACUGCUUCAAGACAGCGAAUUUGUCAAGCUGCAGCUGUUGCUAGGGCAUGGCAGGACGCAGCCUUAGCUAGGCAACUUAACGAGGAUUUAGAGAAUGAUAAACCAAUGGGAAACUGCAGUAAAAGAAGAAUACUCAUCUGUGCACAAUCAAAUGCUGCAGUAGAUGAACUAGUGUCCAGAAUAACCAGUGAAGGCCUUUAUGGAAGUGAUGGGACAAUGUACAAGCCUUAUAUCGUUAGAGUAGGUAAUACGAAAACAGUUCAUCCUAAUUCAUUGCCGUUCUUCAUUGAUACACUUGUUGAUCACCGCAUAGCUGAGGAGAAAAUGAAUGCAACCGAUUCAAAGAAUGAUGCCGACGAGGAUACUUUGACAUUCUUGCGGUCUAAUCUUGAGAAGUUGGUUGAUACUAUCAAAUGUUAUGAAGCUAAAAGAGCUAGUUUACGGGAUGGAAAUUCUGAUUCUAACUGUUUAUUGGAAGGAGACACUGAUAAAGCAGAUAAUGCCAAGGAAAUGUCUGAUGCAGAAGUAGAAGCAAAGCUUCGAAUAUUGUAUGAAAAAAAGAAAUCAAUAUACAUGGAUCUCGCUGCUGCUCAGGCACGGGAGAGGAAAGCUAAUGAAGAAACAAAAGAUCUUAGACAUAAAUUACGGAAGGCUAUACUAAAAGAGGCUGAGAUUGUGGUUACUACAUUGAGUGGCUGUGGUGGAGAUCUUUAUGGGGUCUGUGCAGCAUCUGUGUCCGGCCAGAGAUUUAGCAGUUCAUCCGAGGGUGUCCUAUUUGAUGCAGUUGUGAUUGAUGAAGCUGCUCAAGCUCUGGAGCCUGCUUCCCUCAUACCACUUCAACUAUUAAAAUCAAAGGGAACUAGAUGUGUGAUGGUGGGUGAUCCAAAGCAGCUUCCAGCCACAGUUCUCUCUAACAUUGCCAGCAAAUUUUCUUUCCAAUGUAGCAUGUUUGAACGCUUGCAAAGGGCUGGUUAUCCUGUUAACAUGCUCACACAUCAGUAUAGGAUGCACCCAGAGAUAUGUCGCUUUCCUUCUUUCCGUUUUUAUGAUGGUAAGUUGGUUGAUGGAGACCAGUUAUCCAGCAAAGUUGCAUCAUUUCAUGGGACUAAGGGUCUUGGUCCCUAUGUAUUCUUUGAUGUUGUGGAUGGGAAGGAGCUCCAUGAUAAAAAAUCUGGCACAUUAUCCCUCUACAAUGAGUGUGAGGCUGAUGCUGCAGUUGAAGUUUUAAGAUUUUUCAAGAGGAGGUUCCCAUCUGAGUUUGUUGGUGGAAGAAUUGGUAUUAUAACUCCUUAUCGGUGUCAACUUUCUCUGUUACGCUCACGAUUUUCAAGUGCAUUUGGAUCUUCUAUCACUGCUGACAUGGAGUUUAAUACAGUCGAUGGUUUUCAAGGUCGAGAAGUUGAUAUAGUUAUACUCUCCACAGUGAGGGCAUUCGAGGCAUGCUCGAAUGCAACACCGGUUAAUUCUAGUCGUAUUGGUUUUGUGGCUGAUGUAAGGCGGAUGAAUGUUGCUUUGACUAGGGCAAAGCUUUCUUUGUGGAUCAUGGGGAACGCAAAGACAUUGCGGACGAACCAAAACUGGGAAGCUCUAGUGAAGGAUGCAAAAGAAAGAGAGUUAGUGAUGUCACUUAAAAGACCAUAUAAUGCUACUUUUAAAUCAUAUGAUCAGGAGAAACUGUUGACUUCAGAGAAACCAGAAAAUUGUUCAAGGAAGUUGAAGCAUGUUAUAGGGGUUGAAGCCACAUGUGAGCAUGCGGAUAGACAAAAGAACAAUGUAAAGCAUGUGACAGAAAGGAAAAGAAAAGACACCAGCUUUGGAGCUCCAAUUGACACUCUAAUACGUGCUGAUAUGUCUGGAAAAAAUGUUGAGGGAGAACAAAGAUCUAAAGAUGAAAGUAGUCUUUUGUUGAAAAAGGGUCUCAAUAAUGACCAUUGCAGAAAUACCAGGGGUGUGCGUAAUUUACUCAGGGAAACUCAAUCAGAAUCAAGUGAAAGUUGCGAAAAGAUCAGUAAGAAGCACAGGAAAGAGAGGAAAGCUCAUGGGCUUCAGGGAAAACAAUGUGACCGCUUAGAGAGUAACUUGGGAAACACAAAAAAGUCAGGGAGUGAUAACCAUAAACAUUCUAUAUCUGUUGCAUCUGAAAGAUUUCAACUACCUUUAGAACACGAUGAUAAAUUGCAGAAUACGAGAGGUUGGAAGAACCCUGCUAAGACAACUCUUAUGCACAAGGAUGUGGAAGCUGGGAUCGGAGCUUGUAAUCAGGUUAAAAAUCCCGAUCACAUAAUAUCGGAGAGGAAGCAACAACGUGAUGCUGUUGAUGCUCUUCUUUCUUCAGCACUAAUAUCUUCGAACAAGUCUAGGUCAUCACUAAGAUCUUUGCCUGCCAAAAGAAAGAGUUCAUCAAAUGCUGGAUGCCCUCCAAUUAGACCACCUAAGCAAAAUAAGUCAAGCUGGGAACUCUAUUCCUAUUAGAUGGAGGAUGCACUUCAAUUUAGCCUUUUGGAAUUGUGAUAGCAUAUGUGUCUUUCCAAAGCUAGCGGCAACUUCUUCUUAUGCGAGGACAUGCAUAUUCAUCAAGGUCGUUAUUUGAGAGAUGUCUGAUGGUGGUUCGAGAGGGGCCGGUUGACACAUUUGAGGUGUGCAAGGUGGAAUAGUUUCCUUCUUCAGACUUCCCAUUCAAUUGGAGAUAUAGGAGUUCCUUUUUCUUUUUGUUUCAACAAGGUAAAGUGCUCCUUAAGAAAUCUUUAACAAUUGGAAGUCUGAUAUUGGAAAAUUAUUCAAAAAUGAUCGUCGUGGAUAUGCUUCCAUUUCCCCCUUUUUGUUCAUGAGGCAGGUUGUGUACCCUGAAACUAGCAUCUGGUGGCUAUGAUUAUUUUCACUGCAGAUGAAGUUCAUAUAGAAAGAACCGUGAAUCAAAAGGCGGAUGCCCACAAAUUACUCUUAUUGCUUGUUACCAUUUCUUUGGUGCAGGAAUGGGCUGAAUUGUUCUAUUGUUUUCUUGGAAGAUUAACAUGGAAGAUCCACUUUAAAGAUUUAAUCAAAAUACCCAAUCUUUUAAAAUAUUA